rnacentral:rRNA from 1 species
GCUUGUCUCAAAGAUUAAGCCAUGCAUGUCUAAGUAUAAACAAAUCUAUACUGUGAAACUGCGAAUGGCUCAUUAUAUCAGUUAUAGUUUAUUUGAUGGUUCUUGCUACUUGGAUAACCGUAGUAAUUCUAGAGCUAAUACAUGCGUCAAUACCCUUCUGGGGUAGUAUUUAUUAGAUUGAAACCAACCGCUUCGGCGUGAUGUGGUGAUUCAUAAUAAAUUUGCGAAUCGCAUGGCUUUACGCCGGCGAUGGAUCAUUCAAGUUUCUGCCCUAUCAGCUUUGGAUGGUAGUGUAUUGGACUACCAUGGCUUUAA